AGUGAACGCUGGCGGCAGGCCUAACACAUGCAAGUCGAACGGCAGCACAGUAAGAGCUUGCUCUUACGGGUGGGGAGUGGCGGACGGGUGAGGAAUAUAUCGGAAUCUACUUUUUCGUGGGGGAUAACGUAGGGAAACUUACGCCAAUACAGCAUACGACCUACGGGUGAAAGCAGGGGAUCUUCGGACCUUGCGCGAUUGAAUGAGCCGAUGUCGGAUUAGCUAGUUGGCGGGGUAAAGGCCCACCAAGGCGACGAUCCGUAGCUGGUCUGAGAGGAUGAUCAGCCACACUGGAACUGAGACACGGUCCAGACUCCUACGGGAGGCAGCAGUGGGGAAUAUUGGACAAUGGGCGCAAGCCUGAUCCAGCCAUACCGCGUGGGUGAAGAAGGCCUUCGGGUUGUAAAGCCCUUUUGUUGGGAAAGAAAAGCAGCAGGUUAAUACCCCGCUGUUCUGACGGUACCCAAAGAAUAAGCACCGGCUAACUUCGUG
rnacentral:rRNA from 1 species